CGAACUCAUGAAGAUCUUUAAACUCAGUGCUGUCGGAAUGAAACUGAAGCUGAAAAGGGUGCUUUUCCAUAUCGCAUAAAAAAUAUUCAUGCGAUCAACGUCUCAGAGGCCUUCAAAGUUUUAUUCAACAUCAGUUAUCCUUUCAUGACGAAAAAAAUGAGAAAUCGGUUUCACCUUCAUACGGACAGCGUACAAUUUAAAGAUCUCCAGGCUUUUGUACCACCUGAAGUUCUUCCCGAGGAAUAUGGGGACUGUCUGAGGCACUCAUAUUUCAUCAAUCCAAUGGAAAACAUUUACGAUAACGAAGAAUAUUUUAGAAAAUAUGCACCAUAUUUUUUUUCAAAGCACAAAAAUUAAGCAAUAAAAAUGCAUAGUUUGUAAUCGAUUUUAUAUAUUAGUUAAAGGAAUUUAGAAUUGGUCUCUUUCACGUCAAAUAUGCAAUUUGAUGCAUAAAUUAUUAAACUAUCCAGAUCUGUCAACCUCAGAAAUUAAAAAAAGGACCAGUAGGGUAUUAAUUUUAAAGACCAGGGUAUAGCAUAAUAAGCAAAACUGUAACAGAUAUUUUAAAAAAUAAAUCAAUGCAUUCUUUUAAAUCAAAUUUAUCUAGGCAACUUUUUGCUCCUAAAAAUUACAAAGUAAUAAACUAAUAUACAGUGUUAUAAAACAGUCUUGAAUAACUGAUUUUGCCUUUUGUAAAAACUCUUUCUGGUUUGUCUUUUCAGUUAAUAAAUAUUCUGAAAUUCGUUUUCAAUAGGAAAAAUUUAACUAACUUCGGAAUUUUGUUAUAUUGUUGAAUAUUCUUACACAGGUCAUAUCACAGUAAGGAAUUGUUAAUAUCAUUUUCUGGCUAACAAACUGUAAAUAUUUCUAUUCCUCCUUCUCCUACUGACUUCUCACCAUUUUGUGUCGAACCCAUCAAUAGAAUCAAGAAUUCUAAAAUGUCUUCGCAUUGCAAAGCACAAUAUUGAGUUUCUAGAUUAUUAAGAUAUAAGCUUUGUCAUCUUUUCUUAAAAAAGAAAAACUAACAAGAAACUGGAUAUUAAAGAAAAAAAACGCUGAUUGUUGAAACGAAGCAUUUGUUUACGUUAGCAAUUGUUCUUUCCAUUCCAUUUCGAGUGAGCCAAGUCCGUCAAGUAUCAGUUCUCUUAAUUGACCCAUUCUAUAUUUUUACGAAAAUAUUUUAAUUAUUUCACUAUAUCUUUCUCACUUAACACAAAGACAAGCAUGAAGCCAUGUAUAACAUAAACAAAUUGUGCAUCGAA